rnacentral:rRNA from 1 species
UACGGAGGGGGCUAGCGUUGUUCGGAAUUACUGGGCGUAAAGCGCACGUAGGCGGCUUUGUAAGUUAGAGGUGAAAGCCCAGGGCUUAACCCUGGAAUUGCCUUUAAGACUGCAUCGCUCGAAUUGUGGAGAGGUGAGUGGAAUUCCGAGUGUAGAGGUAAAAUUCGUAGAUAUUCGGAAGAACACCAGUGGCGAAGGCGACUCACUGGACACAUAUUGACGCUGAGGUGCGAAAGCGUGGGGAGCAAACAGG